GACGAACGCUGGCGGCGUGCUUAACACAUGCAAGUCGAACGGAAAGGCCCUGCUUUUGUGGGGUGCUCGAGUGGCGAACGGGUGAGUAACACGUGAGUAUCCUGCCCUUGACUUUGGGAUAUCUUCAGGAAACUGGGGCUAAUACCGGAUAGGAGCUCCUGCUGCAUGGUGGGGUUUGGACAGUUUCGGCGGUUGGGGAUGGACUGGCGGCUUAUUAGCUUGUUGGUGGGGUAGUGGCUUACCAAGGCUUUGACGGGUAGCCGGCCUGAGAGGUGGACCGGCCACAUGGGGACUGAGAGACGGCGCAGACGCCUACGGGAGGCAGCAGGGGGGAAUAUGGCACAAUGGGCGGAAGCCUGAUGCAGAAACGCCGCGUGCGGGAUGACGGCCUUCGGGUUGUAAACCGCUUUAGCCUGUGACGAAGCGGGAGUGACGGUAAUGGGUAAAGAAGCACCGGCUAACUACGUG
rnacentral:rRNA from 1 species